UUUUUCACAGAUCUCCAGUAAAUGUGCCAGAUCUCAUCAGAUCUUGAACACUAAGCAGAAUUGAGCCUGGCUAGUCCUUGUAUGGGCGACCACCGUGGCUGCCAGGUGUUGUAGGCG
rnacentral:rRNA from 1 species